UACAGAGGGUGCAAGCGUUAAUCGGAAUUACUGGGCGUAAAGCGCGCGUAGGUGGUUUGUUAAGUUGGAUGUGAAAUCCCCGGGCUCAACCUGGGAACUGCAUUCAAAACUGACAAGCUAGAGUAUGGUAGAGGGUGGUGGAAUUUCCUGUGAAGCGGUGAAAUGCGUAGAGAUCCGGAAGAACACCAGUGGCGAAGGCGGCCCGCUGGGCAGUGGCUGACGCUGAGGCGCGACAGCGUGGGGAGCAAACAGG
rnacentral:rRNA from 1 species